rnacentral:rRNA from 11 species
AGCUGGGGCCAAAAUACUCUAAAAGUAGCAGGUCCUAUCUGAUUGUGGAAACUAAGCAGGAUCAGCACAGAUUAGUACUUGGAUGGGAGAAUGCUAAGGAAUUCCAGCUGCGGUAGGUG